rnacentral:pre_miRNA from 1 species
AGUGGGAUAGCUGGGUCAGAUGUUGGUUUUAUUCCAAGGUUUUAAAGGAAUCUUCAUACUGCUUUCUAGAUUGGUUGCACCAAUUUGCAGACCCACCAGCAAU